rnacentral:rRNA from 1 species
GACGAACGCUGGCGGCGUGCUUAACACAUGCAAGUCGAACGGACAGGCCCUGCUUUUGUGGGGUGCUCGAGUGGCGAACGGGUGAGUAACACGUGAGUAACCUGCCCUUGACUUUGGGAUAACUUCAGGCAACUGGGGCUAAUACCGGAUAGGAGCUCCUGCUGCAUGGUGGGGGUUGGAAAGUUUCGGCGGUUGGGGAUGGACUCGCGGCUUAUCAGCUUGCUGGUGGGGUAGUGGCUUACCAAGGCUUUGACGGGUAGCCGGCCUGAGAGGGUGACCGGGCACAAUGGGACUGAGAUACGGACCAGACGCCUACGGGAGGCAGCAGUGGGGAAUAUUGCACAAUGGGCGGAAGCCUGAUACAGCAGCGCCGCGUGCGGGAUGACGGCCUUCGGGUUAUGAACCGCUUUCGCCUGUGACGAAGCGUGAGUGACGGUAAUGGGUAAAGAAGCACCGGCUAACUACGUG